rnacentral:rRNA from 1 species
CCCUUAGAUGUUCUGGGCCGCACGCGCGCUACACUGAUGCAUUCAACAAGCCUAGCCUUGACCGAGAGGUCCGGGUAAUCUUUGAAACUGCAUCGUGAUGGGGCUAGAUUAUUGCAAUUAUUAAUCUUCAACGAGGAAUGCCUAGUAAGCGUGAUUCAUCAAAUCGCGUUGAUUACGUCCCUGCCCUUUGUACACACCGCCCGUCGCUCCUACCGAUUGAAUGUGUUGGUGAGGAGCUCGGAUUGGCAGCAGUUGGUGGUUCGCCACCGGCUAUUGCUGAGAAGUCCUCCAAACCGCCCCAUUUAGAGGAAGGAAAAGUCGUAACA